rnacentral:rRNA from 1 species
GUAGGUGGCAAGCGUUGUCCGGAAUUAUUGGGCGUAAAGCGCGCGCAGGCGGUUCUUUAAGUCUGAUGUGAAAGCCCACGGCUCAACCGUGGAGGGUAAUUGGAAACUGGAGAACUUGAGUACAGAAGAGGAAAGCGGAAUUCCACGUGUAGCGGUGAAAUGCGUAGAGAUGUGGAGGAACACCAGUGGCGAAGGCGGCUUUCUGGUCUGUAACUGACGCUGAGGCGCGAAAGCGUGGGGAGCAAACAGGGAUUAGAUACCCUGGUAGUCCACGCCGUAAACGAUGAGUGCUAAGUGUUAGGGGGUUUCCGCCCCCUUAGUGCUGCAGCUAACGCAUUAAGCACUCCGCCUGGGGAGUACGGCCGCAAGGCUG